UUGUUUAAUUUUUGUUCCUAUUUUGGUUUUUUGGAUAGUCUGCACUGUAUUAAUAUUAAUCCUUUUGGUUAAUUUACAGAGUUUCUCCUAAAGAUUUGUUGACCAAAAUAAAGCUGAAUCAGUGCUAACUUUCCUCAUUCACAUGAGUUUGUCUGUUUCUUGCUCUUCUGUUUUUUUUUUACCAGAAUGGCUUCAGUUCUGUGCAGGCCACGCAGUUACAGACCACACAAUCUGUUGAAGGUGCUACAGGCUCUGCAGUGAAAUCUGAUUCACCUUCCACUUCUAGCAUCCCCCCUCUCAAUGAAACGGUAUCUGCAGCUUCCUUACUGACGACAACCAAUCAGCAUUCAUCCUCCUUGGGUGGCUUGAGCCACAGUGAGGAGAUUCCAAAUACUACCACCACACAACACAGCAGCACGUUAUCUACGCAGCAGAAUACCCUUUCAUCAUCAACAUCUUCUGGGCGCACUUCGACAUCCACUCUUUUGCACACAAGUGUGGAGAGUGAGGCGAAUCUCCAUUCUUCCUCCAGCACUUUUUCCACCACAUCCAGCACAGUCUCUGCACCUCCACCAGUGGUCAGUGUCUCCUCCAGUCUCAAUAGUGGCAGUAGCCUGGGCCUCAGCCUAGGCAGCAACUCCACUGUCACAGCCUCGACUCGAAGCUCAGUUGCUACGACUUCAGGAAAAGCUCCUCCCAACCUCCCUCCUGGGGUCCCGCCGUUGUUGCCUAAUCCGUAUAUUAUGGCUCCAGGGCUGUUACAUGCCUACCCGCCACAAGUAUAUGGUUAUGAUGACUUGCAGAUGCUUCAGACGAGAUUUCCAUUGGAUUACUACAGCAUCCCAUUUCCCACACCCACUACU
rnacentral:sRNA from 1 species